AUUGAACGCUGGCGGCAUGCCUUACACAUGCAAGUCGAACGGCAGCACGGGGCAACCUGGUGGCGAGUGGCGAACGGGUGAGUAAUGCAUCGGAACGUACCUUUCAGUGGGGGAUAACGUAGUGAAAGUUACGCUAAUACCGCAUAUUCUGUGAGCAGGAAAGCAGGGGAUCGCAAGACCUUGCGCUGAUUGAGCGGCCGAUGUCAGAUUAGCUAGUUGGUGAGGUAAAGGCUCACCAAGGCGACGAUCUGUAGCGGGUCUGAGAGGAUGAUCCGCCACACUGGAACUGAGACACGGUCCAGACUCCUACGGGAGGCAGCAGUGGGGAAUUUUGGGCAAUGGGGGCAACCCUGAUCCAGCCAUGCCGCGUGAGUGAAGAAGGCCUUCGGGUUGUAAAGCUCUUUCGGCCGGGAAGAAAUCGCACGGGCUAAUACCCUGUGUGGAUGACGGUACCGGAAUAAGAAGCACCGGCUAACUACGUGCCAGCAGCCGCCGUAACAC
rnacentral:rRNA from 1 species